rnacentral:lncRNA from 1 species
CGGAGCUGCCACAACCCAUCUUCCCACAACUCGGAACUUGGAAAAAGGAACCCAGGACACGACUUUGCUUUUCUUUUGGACCUAGUUGAUACAAGUUAACAGGAUAUGCUUCUGGCCUGUUUCUGGAUUCUAAGGGUAGAACCAGCAUAAAACUAGUCAGUCCAAGUAUUUCUAAAGAUCCACAGACACAGUUCUCCUGGAUUUGGGAAGCCUAGAGAUAUUAGCACAAUAAUUAAGGCCCAACAACUUUUAAAAGCCUUUCCACUGCACAGUGAAAGAAAACCACAAACUCCUUGUUUAAUAAGUGGGAUCACGUGCUUUUAACACGAGGAAAAGGUCAAUCUGAAGCAACUGAUAUGGAACUGCCAGAGUAGGAGUUGAAAAUCUUCCUAAACUGCUGGAGGAUACACCUCUGAUAGCUUGAGACAAAUAUCCUCUUGAUCAUUGUUUCACCAUAUUUGUCUUUGCUCAUGGAGAACCAUUUUGAUCCGUGGUUUAGCCUCCCAGGUGAUUGAACAAUACCGGUGAUCUGAGGCAGACCCUCUGUGACGGAUAACAGGAAAGAAUAUUGAUUGAACAUCUACUCAAGAACUGCAAAACAGAGAUUACCUGACCUAAAGAUGAAUCCAGGAUUCGGUGGUGCCUGUUCCAGGAACCUUUAGUGUGAAGGAUCCUCCAGAUGUGCCUUUUGCCUUCCACCAUGAUUGUGAGGCCUCCCCAGCCACACAGAACUGAGUCCAUUCUCAAUUUUCUGUGCAAAUUGGGGAAGGCUGUUGAUAAUCGGUGGAUGCUAUAGUGCCCAUGGAAAGACUCUAGUCUGAAGAUACCAGUCUCUCCCUCCCAAGAUCACCUCCCCUGACCAACCUUCUGCACUCCUGACAGAUACAAGGGAGCAAGCAAGUUGCACCCAACCUAAUAGUAAAUUGCAGGGACAUUUCCAUUCUAAGGAAGGAAUUUUUGUGUGUGUUGCAACUCAGCUUCUGCUCUGGCAUUUUGCUGUGCAUUUAUAUUGCCAAUCAUGUUGGAGAGUCCAUGUGGUGAUUUCUGAAAACGAGAUGUGAGAAAGAAGAGGAUAAUUUAAGUCUAGACCUACAGAUUGUGCUGAUAAAGUGAUGAAGAACUACAAUCUUCU